rnacentral:rRNA from 1 species
GAUGAACGCUGGCGGCGUGCCUAAUACAUGCAAGUCGAGCGAACAGAUGAGGAGCUUGCUCCUCUGACGUUAGCGGCGGACGGGUGAGUAACACGUGGAUAACCUACCUAUAAGACUGGGAUAACUUCGGGAAACCGGAGCUAAUACCGGAUAAUAUAUUGAACCGCAUGGUUCAUAGUGAAAGACGGUUUUGCUGUCACUUAUAGAUGGAUCCGCGCCGCAUUAGCUAGUUGGUAAGGUAACGGCUUACCAAGGCAACGAUGCGUAGCCGACCUGAGAGGGUGAUCGGCCACACUGGAACUGAGACACGGUCCAGACUCCUACGGGAGGCAGCAGUAGGGAAUCUUCCGCAAUGGGCGAAAGCCUGACGGAGCAACGCCGCGUGAGUGAUGAAGGUCUUCGGAUCGUAAAACUCUGUUAUUAGGGAAGAACAAAUGUGUAAGUAACUAUGCACGUCUUGACGGUACCUAAUCAGAAAGCCACGGCUAACUACGUG